rnacentral:misc_RNA from 1 species
GAUGAAGAACGUAGCGAAAUGCGAUAAGUAAUGUGAAUUGCAGAAUUCAGUGAAUCAUCGAAUCUUUGAACGCACAUUGCGCCCUCUGGUAUUCCGGGGGGCAUGCCUGUUCGAGCGUCAUUACAACCCUCAAGCUUUGCUUGGUAUUGGACAUUGCCAGUUUCUGGCAGGUCUUAAAAUCAGUGGCGGUGCCAUUUGGCUUCAAGCGUAGUAAUUCUUCUCGCUUUGGAGAUCCAAGUGGUUACUUGCCAAUAACCCCCAAUUUUUUCAGGUUGACCUCGGAUCAGGUAGGGAUACCCGCUGAACUUAAGCAUAUCAAUAACGGAGGA